AAUAGAUGGAGAAAAGAUUUUUGACAAAUUCCUUUUAAAAGAUCUGUGAUCAUAAGUAUAGAGGAAAGAACUUAGAAAAGUAUUUAAAAAUCAAAUGAGAAACAUUGAAGGAAAUUAAAACAUAAAAACCAUUCAAGAAAAAUGGGAAGAUUAUUUUUUAAAAGUUAAGCAACAAGAAAAGGAAAUACAGGGUCUCAAAGACGAAAAUAACUCUUGGAAAAUUAGAACUUGGCAGAAAGAAGACAGUGAAGCUAUAAGAGCCCAAGAAAUAACAAAACAGAUUAUAAAAAUGAAAAAAAAAAAAUAAAACGUAAUGUGGAACAUCUUAUAAGCAAAAGGGCAGAUUUAGAGAACAGAUCAAGAAAAGAAAAUAUAAGAAUAAUGGAAUGCCUGAAAGUUCUGAUCAUAAAAAGGACUUUGACACAAUAAUGCAGGGAUGGGGGUGGGGGUGGGGGAAUUCCAAGAAAAAUGAUCCCGGAGUAAUAAAACAUGAGGAGAAAGCAGAAAUAGAAAUAAUUCACCCAUCACCACCUCCAGGAGAUCCUUUGUGAAAACACAUAGGGACAUCGUCACCAAACUUUGAAAAUCUCAGAUCAAAGAGAAAAUUUUCAAGAAACAAGAAAUAACCAAUAGAAAUAAGCUAGAGCUACAAUUAGAAUGGUAAAGUCCUAAUGAGCAGCCACAAUUAAUGACCCCAGGUGCUGCAAUCACAUCUACUUACUGACAAUCAAAGAAACAAGCCUGAGGCUUCAUCAUGUAGAAUCAUCAUAUAGAGAGAGCAAAAUUAUCUCUAAUAUUCAACCAGAAGAAAUAGAGAUUCAAGGAAAUUGCAGAUUUUCAAGGCUUUUUAUGGUGCAGUCCCGGCCCUGGCGUCCCUAUAAAAGGAGGACUACUAGGCCGGCUACCUGUCAGAGCGAGCUAGACAGCGCCCAGAUCGGACGUGUUCAGACUUGCUCUUUGGACAUUGCGGUAUUUUGGCGUUUCCAGCCCGGAGUACCAGAAAGGUGAGAUCGGCGAAUUUCUGGGUGAGUAGCGGGGACCCCAGCCCUUGGUAGCUAGAUCGCUAGGGGAGCUUUCUGCGCCUGCUCUUCCCAUCCGGGGGGAGCACUCUUCAGCCCAACCCAACCAGACAGACUCCAGCCAUCUCGGCCCGCGCCACCCCGCGCCGCUUUAGCCCUGUCACUCUCCUUUCCUUAGCCUGUUGCUUCUUGUCCUGGGGAGGAUGAGCCGGGAACCUAAGGCCCGAGGGAAGGUUCAGAGGGAGGUGGGAG
rnacentral:lncRNA from 1 species